CCUACGGGAGGCAGCAGUAGGGAAUAUUGCUCAAUGGAGGAAACCCUGAAGCAGCAACGCCGCGUGGAGGAUGAAUGUUUUCUGAUUUUAAACUCCUUUUUUUAUAGAAGUUAAUGACGGUAUCUAACGAAUAAGCACCGGCUAACUCCGUGCCAGCAGCCGCGGUAAUACGGAGGCUGCAAGCGUUACUCGGAGUCACUGGGCGUAAGGAGAGCGUAGGCGGGAUAGCAAGUCAGUUGUGAAAUCCUAUGGCUUAACCAUAGAACUGCAUUUGAAACUGUUAGUCUAGAGUAUGGGAGAGGUAGGUGGAAUUCGUGGUGUAGGGGUAAAAUGCGUAGAGAUCAAGAGGAAUACUCAUUGCGAAGGCGACCUGCUAGAACAUAACUGACGCUGAUGCGCGAAAGCGUGGGGAGCAAACAGGAUUAGAUACCCUGGUAGUC
rnacentral:rRNA from 1 species